rnacentral:rRNA from 1 species
AUAUAAAAACAAAACACACACCUAUUUUGUGUUGUUCAACGCACGCAAAAAAUCCCGCCACCUCUUUCUCCUCGUGUGGUGCAUAUUCAUGUUUGUGAGUGUGCACAUAUACGAUAUCUUUCAACUCUUUCUACUCGCACAAUGGUGUAUGUCACGCAUAUACGUGUGUGUAGUGAGUGAUAUGGAAGAGAAAUGGGAAAGGCAUAUAUAUAUAUGUAUAUACAUAAUAUAUAUGUGUGUGGAUUUGUGUGUUGAGCACAUAUAAGGAAAAAGGUUGUGUGUAUAUACAGAGAGUCUGUGGCGGUUGGGACAUGUGUAUAAAUAUAUAUAUGUAUAUGUGUGUGUUCCGCUGUGGAGAUUUUAUAUCUUACGGAGAGUGUUCAUAUAUAUAUGUUUGUACGCAUGUAUUUUGGCGCCCCGUAUAGAGAUUAAAAAAGAAGAGAAAAAGUAUGCAAAAGAGGCGGCGGAUAGUGUGUAUGUGUGUAUUCACAGCAAGCAACUAUAUUUUGCUGCUUGUGAGUAUAUGCAUAUAUGUACAUUAUGUGCUUGUGCUUCUUUCGUGUACGCUUCACUUUUUUAUAUUGUAUUUU